rnacentral:tRNA from 1 species
UCCAGGAUGGCCGAGUCGUUAAGGCGUUGGACUUAAGUUCCAAUGUACGAAUGUACGCGUGGGUUCGAACCCCACUCCUGGUA